UACGGAGGGUGCAAGCGUUAUCCGGAUUUACUGGGCUUAAAGGGUGUGUAGGCGGUCUUUUAAGUCAGCGGUGAAAUCUCCGGGCUCAACCCGGAAACUGCCAUUGAUACUAUUAGUCUUGAAUAUUGUUGAGGUAGGCGGAACGGGUCAUGUAGCGGUGAAAUGCAUAGAUAUGACCCGGAACACCGAUUGCGAAGGCAGCCUACUGAGCAAUUAUUGACGCUGAGGCACGAAAGCGUGGGGAUCAAACAGG
rnacentral:rRNA from 1 species